CUGAAAACAUUAAUACUGUAAUCUGCCAACCUCAACUGUUUAUAGUGUAGUUCUCAUCAAAUUUGAAUAACACACUAUUGAUCUUAUGAUUUUAUAUUUUUGUAGUGUAAGUUUUUAAUCAUAUAAUGCAUAUACAUGUUACUUUCUUGCAUAUUGAUGUUAAAAAUUCAAUCUAUUGGGGCUUUUUUGUACAGCCUAUCCAGGGGCGUACGGUGAAAAAUCUAAAGGGGGGGGGGUCAAAACGAAAGCGCAGGGGGCAAGCUGAACUCGGAGCAAUUUAGCGAAGCUUUCAGAAUUCGCGGGGUGCGUUAUUUGUGAGUGAAGCAAGCAAAUUUAAAGGGCACUUUCUUUAAAAUGGGGGGUCGACAGCACCCAUCGACUCCCCACGGUAUGCCCCUGCUAUCAACUUGUAUUUCUUUGAUUUCCAUAAAUUUUGAUAUUUGCAAGUUUGUUUAUUCUUUCUUUAGUACCUGUAUAUUUUUUCUGGUUUAUCUGUAUAAAAAAAAACCUAACAAGCACACAACAGAGUGUAUAUUAUAAAUACACCUAUGGGCAUUCAUCCAUUAAAUGAAUAAGAUGCACUGAGUCAUAUUGAUUAUUCUGGUAUAUAUUUAAUUUUUCUUAUAAACUUGAAUCUGCGUAAAUAAUCUGAUUCAAAGUAGUGGGAUAGGGAUAUAUUUAAAACGAGGUUUGUAAGCAUUUUAUUAUUUCAUCAUCAUAAAAAAGAAUAUACUGUAUAUGAUUUAGGUAGUUAAGUUUGGCUUUUUUUUUUUGCAUUCAUCAUGAAUUUUAAUCUGUAUACAACCUAAUAAAUUUAUAGAUUUUCAUGUACACUUUGACAAUAACUUAUCUGAAUCUGAUAUGUAUGUACAGUAUAAUUGUUAUUACUAUAUAUGAUUAACAGUGUAAAAGGUUUCUUAACCCAUUAUAGAGGGCAGAAAUUUGUAUGUCGUCACUCAUUACAUAAUGAUAGCGUGGGUCAGUAGCGUCUAAAAAAUUAGCGCGAAUCAGUGGCCUCCUGAAUGUGAUCGGGAUCAGACGUGUGUUUGACCACUCACUUAUUAUGUGAUUCAAGUACAUUUAUGGUAUGUUUUAUUUUACCUUUUAUAUUUUUAGUGUUAUAAGAUUAGUUACUUAGUGUAUUAAUUACUGCCUUUAAUGCAUUGAAAGUCUCUUGUUAUAUGAAUACAGCCUAACUAAGGUGAAGUUUAACAAGGAUACAACUGCCUUGUAUAUUCCUUUGUUCUAACUGCUUGUUCUUGAUCCUUUGGUGUAAACAAGUUACAGUAUUAGGUAUUUAAAUUUACUAUGCUAAAGUAUUGGUUGUAGUGGUAAGUUGGUAACAACUGCCCAAUUUAACCUAAAGUUAUGACAUAGCAUGAGUAAGAUUGAUUUAUGCAGUUUAAUGUUAUUUGAGUUAUAUGUAUUGUACGGCAUACAUUGUCUUAGCCUGCAUCCUGCUGUAAAAUGGGCAUCUCUGUUCUCUUUGAUUGUUUCACGCUCAUGUCAAAGGUCAUCUUAAAACAUAAUCAAAUAUGGCUGCGCCCAUUGGCAUAUAGCAGCGUGUAUUAUAAAGGUCUACAAGUCUGUCGAUAGUGUUAUUAUAUAUUAUAUUGCUGUGAUUAUUUCACAUGUCUCGAAGGUUAAUCUAUAGUAAAUGUGCCUAAUGAUUAACACAGUAUUUUUGGUGAUUUAUUUUUCAAGUAUACCGGCAAAUGUUGAUUUAUUGUUUAAGCCGAUGGGUUCAUGAUUUGAUGAUACCCAUGUAUCUAACAGUGUCACUACUGAGUAUAUUAUCAAACAGAUUUGUUUUAUGUAUUAGAUGAUGUACAGUCCUAAAAACAUUGUGAUGGCAGAUGAGUGCAUAUUGCUUAUUAUUGGAUAGUUGCGCCAUAGUUUCUCACCAGAUCAGCAGAGAGAAGCCAAAUAAAUAUACCAUUGUUUUAAUGGUAGUCGUGUGGAAAUCUUUAUUGCCUGCGUUGGGUAAUUGUGGCGCCCUCUACCAACCCCCUAAAUAUUGAUUGUGGAAUCAACUACAAACAGCAAGCUCAGCUUUUGUUGACAUUUAUUUGUAAAUAUUAACCUGCAUUAAAACCAAUUCCAUUUUAUAUUUCUUUAUGGUUUACUUUGACAAUAAAUCAUCUAAAUCUGUAUAGAUGUCUGUAUAGUA